AGCUGGACCUGGACUCCAGGCUACUCAUGGGCUCACUCCUGCCUCAGCUCCCACAUACCGGGAUUACAGAUGAUGCAUAAAUACAGUACACAAGAGAUUAUCCCUACACCCAUGGAUAAGCCUUGGAAAACUGAGACCUUCUCCCAACAUGUGCUUGAAGAUGCUCCUGAAUUUGGAUGAAGUGCUGAGAAUAAUACAGAAAAUGAAGUCCCCCCCGCUCUUUUGAGACUAUUGCCCGAGGAAUUUGAGGCAGGCAAAUCUGUUGUGCAGGCCAUGGAUUUGGAUUUGGACCUAACUCUUUACUGGGAGCCUGCCACACACACUCCAGUGAAGACUGCUUGACAGGCUGAGAAGCCUGAAAGCACUCACGAGGCAAAGAGUUUCACAGAAACUCACCUCUUGGAGUUUUGGACUUCUCAUUAACCUUUAUACUCAUACCCUAUUCCCAUGUUAGUCUGGUGUAUGGAUCCACGUGCUCUCUUUUAGUAUUAUUUUAUUAUAAGUGCCUUUUAAGAUUGAAUUCUGACAUAGCCAGAGCCUUCGCCAGUGUUCCUAGGUUCCAGAAGCCUAUGAGCUUGGAAUCCGGUUGGAAUGCAGUAAGGAAGUUACCUAUGCAGUAACUAAUUAAGCAUUACAAAAGAUGGAGACAAAGCAGCUCAAGGCUGGUCUGCAGAGUGUUUACCAUGAAAGAGCCAGGUAAUCCCACUGAGAUAGAAAUCUUCAGUACAGGCUACAUUGCAUAUUAGAAGCAAGUUGGUGAAUUCUUCUGACAAAUGGAGAUUCUCCACAGAUACUUAAAAGUUACAAGAAAUUAUCAGGGCCCAGGAAAUAGGGGGGUUGUGGUAUUGCAGUAUUCAUGAGAAGGUCUACUAGAGUAGAACCCCUGGUGGUGGAUUUAACAAUAGACUAGCUUUACACCUGGCUCCCUUCUUAGUGGCAGCGGCCUGGUCCCCAUCUUCUUUUGAUGUAUAUUUUCCUUUUGUAUUGUGUCACUUGGUGGAUUGUGUCUCGUCUGGUUUCUCAAUAUUCUUCUAUAUAAAAAGGGCAGCGGCCUGGUCCCCAUCUUCUUUUGAUGUAUAUUUUCCUUUUGUAUUGUGUCACUUGGUGGAUUGUGUCUCGUCUGGUUUCUCAAUAUUCUUCUAUAUAAAAAGUUUGAUGCUCGACUUGACAAACUACAUUCAGAUUCUACACAAUCUCGUGUGUUGGUCUGUCUGUCAUUCGCCUGACUCUUUGCCCACCUUCGACUAGAGACCCUUUCCACACAGACAAAGGGACCCAGAGGGUCUGCGGCAGGGGCCCUACAGAUGAGGGAGCAGGACAAAGCCUAAAUUAUGCUGUUUUAAGAUUUCCUUUCCCAAUACAAUUAAUAACCUCUUCAUCUUAGCCUCAGGCAGACUCUUCAGAAAAGGGCAAAAAAGAGCCACACUAUUCACCAAAAUAUCACAAGAACAGUCUCUAGUGCACAUACUAAAAUUCUCUGAAACCUCUUGAGCUCCCAUGGUUCAAAUCACCCUCAGCAUCAUUGUCUCCCAUGCUUCUACUAGUAUGGGCCACUAAGUCCUGAGGAGAACAAUGGCUUCCCUUUGGAUCUGGCCUGAAAGGGGCAGAGCAGUUAACUGGGGGAAAGUUCAGGGGUCGUCCCUCCUGGAAGGGAGGGAUGUCCUAACAUGACUUUCUGUGGGCCAAAGUUAUGUCCUUGUCCCUAGCCAAGAGUCAAUAUUUAUCCGGUGAGGAGGGUGUCUUGGGUCUACUGAAAAACAGUCCUUAUUUUGAAGAAGUUCUUAUUAUGAGAAAACGAAUCCAAGAAUGAUAACAUUUUUAAUCUGCCCAGGUAUUCUCAUAAUUGCCACAAUGUCAAAUAAAUGUGCAAUUAUAGAAUCAAGUUUUUAGAACUUAAAGCAACUGCCUAUUGAAAUCCUGAGUAUGGUAUGGUACACAUACGUUAAUUUUCCUAAUUCUGCAAAAUGAAACAUAUUCAUUUGCCAAAUUUAAUUUCUUUGGAUACUUUUUGGGUUACUCCCUGCAGGUAAUGGAGUUUGGUUAUAUAAAGGACAAAUAGGACAUUUUCUUAUAAUUUCUUUGGCUUGUUGCCAAGUGAUAGAAAAAUCCCCCUCAAUACCUUUAGUCUUAUUAUGGUGUUUCUUAUGAAAAUUUGAGGUUUCUAGCACAUUUCCCAUCAACAGGUGAACAAUUUCAUCAUUAUCUUGUGGAAUCUGACAUGUUAUAUACAAUGGAUGAUUUCCCUAUAAUUAAUUUUUGUAGUUGAAUAAACAGUGAAGUUAAUUUUGGUCA